rnacentral:rRNA from 1 species
UACGUAGGUGGCGAGCGUUGUCCGGAUUUACUGGGCGUAAAGAGCGCGCAGGCGGUCGUACAAGUCGCGUGUGAAAGCCCCCGGCUCAACUGGGGAGGGUCACGCGAUACUGUUCGACUCGAAGGCAGGAGAGGGUAGUGGAAUUCCCGGUGUAGUGGUGGAAAUGCGUAGAUAUCGGGAGGAACACCAGUGGCGAAGGCGACUACCUGGCCUGUUCUUGACGCUGAGGCGCGAAAGCUAGGGUAGCAAACGGGG